CAGCGGACGGCUGAGUAAUGCACAGGAACGUACCUCGAAGUGGGGGAUAGCCCUUCGAAAGAAGGGGUAAUACCGCAUGUGAUCGUAAGAUCAAAGCCGUAAGGCGCUUUGAGAGCGGCCUGUGUCCUAUCAGGUUGUUGGUGGGGUAAUGGCCUACCAAGCCUAUGACGGGUAGUUGGUCUGAGAGGAUGACCAGCCAGAUCGGGACUGAGACACGGCCCGA
rnacentral:rRNA from 1 species